rnacentral:tRNA from 1 species
AGUUAAUGUUGAAUAGGCAUAACGGAMCGGUCUCGAAAACCGGAGUAGGGGCAACUCUACCGGGGGUUCAAAUCCCCCUCUCUCCGCCA